CCUACGGGGGGCAGCAGUGAGGAAUAUUGGUCAAUGGACGAGAGUCUGAACUAGCCAAGUAGCGUGAAGGAUGACUGCCCUAUGGGUUGUAAACUUCUUUUAUAAAGGAAUAAAACGAGGCACGUGUGCCUUUUUGCAUGUACUUUAUGAAUAAGGAUCGGCUAACUCCGUGCCAGCAGCCGCGGUAAUACGGAGGAUCCGAGCGUUAUCCGGAUUUAUUGGGUUUAAAGGGAGCGUAGAUGGGUUGUUAAGUCAGUUGUGAAAGUUUGCGGCUCAACCGUAAAAUUGCAAUUGAUACUGGCAGUCGUGAGUACAGUUGAGGUAGGCGGAAUUCGUGGUGUAGCGGUGAAAUGCUUAGAUAUCACGAAGAACCCCGAUUGCGAAGGCAGCUUACUAAACUGUGACUGACAUUGAUGCUCGAAAGUGUGGGUAUCAAACAGGAUUAGAUACCCUAGUAGUC
rnacentral:rRNA from 1 species